GGUUUGGGAGGGGUUUACGAACUCCGCAUGGUGAAGGAAAGUGCCAAGAAAAGCUGGUAAUGUGAUGAAAGCAUCAUACCCGUACCCGAAACCGACACAGGUAGGGAGGUUGAGAAUACCAAGGGGCGCGAGAUAACUCUCUCUAAGGAACUCGGCAAAAUGGCCCCGUAACUUCGGAAGAAGGGGUGCCCACGAGAGUGGGUCGCAGUGAAGAGAUCCAGGCGACUGUUUACCAAAAACACAGGUCUCCGCUAACUCGAAAGAGGACGUAUGGGGGCUGACGCCUGCCCAGUGCCGGAAGGUUAAGGAAGUUGGUCAGGGGUUCGCCCUGAAGCUGACGACCGAAGCCCCGGUGAACGGCGGCCGUAACUAUAACGGUCCUAAGGUAGCGAAAUUCCUUGUCGGGUAAGUUCCGACCCGCACGGAAGGCGUAACGAUCUGGAUGGUGUCUCAGAGAGAGACUCGGCGAAAUAGGAAUGUCUGUGAAGAUACGGACUGCCUGCACCUGGACAGAAAGACCCUAUGAAGCUUUACUGUAGCCUGGAAUUGUGUUCGGGCUUGGCUUGCGCAGGAUAGGUGGGAAGCACAGAAGUACCCCUUGUGGGGGGUAUGGAGCUAACGGUGAGAUACCACUCUGGCGAAGCUAGAAUUCUAACCUAGCACCCUCAGCGGGUGUAGGAACAGUUUCAGGUGGGCAGUUUGACUGGGGCGGUCGCCUCCUAAAAGGUAACGGAGGCGCGCAAAGGUUCUCUCAGCACGCUUGGAAACCGUGCGGCGAGUGUAAAGGCAUAAAGAGAGCUUGACUGCAAGAGUGACAACUCAAGCAGGGACGAAAGUCGGCCUUAGUGAUCCGACGGCACAGAAUGGAAUGGCCGUCGCUCAACGGAUAAAAGUUACUCUAGGGAUAACAGGCUGAUCUCCCCCAAGAGUCCACAUCGACGGGGAGGUUUGGCACCUCGAUGUCGGCUCAUCGCAACCUGGGGCGGAAGUACGUCCCAAGGGUUGGGCUGUUCGCCCAUUAAAGCGGUACGUGAGCUGGGUUCAGAAUGUCGUGAGACAGUUCGGUCCAUAUCCGGUGCAGGCGUAAGAGCAUUGAGAGGAGCCUUCCUUAGUACGAGAGGACCGGGAAGGACGCACCGCUGGUGUACCAGUUAUUCCACCAGGAGUAGACGCUGGGUAGCUAAGUGCGGAGCGGAUAACCGCUGAAAGCAUCUAAGUGGGAAGCCCACCUCAAGAUGAGUGCUCUCACUACUUAAGUAGGUAAGGUCACGGGCAGAACACCCGUUUAUAGGCUCUAAGUGGAAGUACAGCAAUGUAUGUAGCUGAGGAGUCCUAACAGACCGAGGGCUUGAC
rnacentral:rRNA from 1 species